rnacentral:rRNA from 1 species
AUACGUAGGGGGCGAGCGUUGUCCGGAAUGAUUGGGCGUAAAGGGCGCGUAGGCGGCCCGGUAAGUCUGGAGUGAAAGUCCUGUUUUUAAGAUGGGAAUUGCUUUGGAUACUGUCGGGCUUGAGUGCAGGAGAGGUUAUCGGAAUUCCCGGUGGAGCGGUGAAAUGCGUAGAGAUCGGGAGGAACACCAGUGGCGAAGGCGGGUAACUGGACUGCAACUGACGCUGAGGCGCGAAAGUGUGGGGAGCAAACAGGAUUAGAUACCCUGGUAGUCCACACUGUAAACGAUGAAUGCUAGGUGUAAGAGGUAUCGACCCCUUUUGUGCCGGAGUCAACACAAUAAGCAUUCCGCCUGGGGAGUACGGCCGCAAGGUUGAAACUCAAAUGAAUUGACGGG